rnacentral:rRNA from 1 species
AAGCCUGAUGCAGCCAUGCCGCGUGUAUGAAGAAGGCCUUCGGGUUGUAAAGUACUUUCAGCAGUGAGGAAGUGGGUAUGUUAAUAGCAUAUUCAUUUGACGUUAGCUGCAGAAGAAGCACCGGCUAACUCCGUGCCAGCAGCCGCGGUAAUACGGAGGGUGCGAGCGUUAAUCGGAAUUACUGGGCGUAAAGCGCAUGCAGGUGGUUGUUAAGUCAGAUGUGAAAGCCCGGGGCUCAACCUCGGAAUUGCAUUUGAAACUGGCAAACUAGAGUACUGUAGAGGGGGUAGAAUUUCAGGUGUAGCGGUGAAAUGCGUAGAGAUCUGAAGGAAUACCGGUGGCGAAGGCGGCCCCCUGGACAGAUACUGACACUCAGAUGCGAAAGCGUGGGGAGCAAACAGGAUUAGAUACCCUGGUAG